rnacentral:lncRNA from 1 species
GGCCACAUUAAAAUUUGCUAUUAGUCCAUUCUCUACCGAAUCUUAUCUGUUCAGAAUCAUCAAAAUAGCAGGGAUACUCCAAUAUGCUAAAUUAGCAUGCAUUUAAGCUGGCCAGUCAAACUCUGAGAAUAUAAGAAACUGGCGGUGUUUAAAAUAAGAAAAAAAGUGUCUCACAGUGAUAGUGUUUCAAUUGAGAUCAUCUUUCUGUGCAUUAGCUUCAAGCUGAUAGCUUUGAUCUUUGUAUCAUAUUUUAGAUAUUGAAGUUUAGUUGAACUGGUUGCUUUUCUCUGUAGACAAAUUUUGUUGAAUAAGGCAAGUUGUAUAGGAGACCUUCACUCUUUUGCUGAAACUACUCUACAUUGCCUCCCCUAUUUUUGGGACAGCUCAAACUUGUUAAUCAUUUUCCCAUCUUCCCCUGUGUUUCAUUUCUCCUAAAAAUAGGUGGCUUCAGAAUCAUUCAUCUUAAUCAGGAUUUAUUUUGUUUGUUGUUCAACAUCUUGUACUAGUUGACCUGCUAAAAGUUGCUGAAAUUUGGCAUAUGAUGUUGCUGCAAAGUUUUUUCAUUGAGACAAAAAGAUGAAGGUUCUUCUGUCUCUCACUUUCUUUAUACUAAGCUCAAUGGAGAUUCCUGCUGUGUUAUGAUACUUCACUAAAUCCUCCUUCCACAAGUUUUAUUUUACCAUUUCUGGAAAAGGAAAGAAUUCAUAAUUUAUUUAUGUUUAAUAUUUUUAUGCCAAAUACUCUAAUUGAGAGUGGUGGUGCAAAAGCUUGGCUGCUUGAUUGCCUUUUUGGUUUUGCAUAUGCUACUAUAAUACAUGCUGCAAUUAUAGUCGAGGAAUCCAAGAAAGGAUAGGAUAUUGCUUCUGUAGGCUAAGAUUCAUCAUUUCACUGGAUUGUAUUGUUUCAUCUUCUUAGGUGACUCCUGCUGGCUUUGCACAGAUGACAGAAAUGCUGACUGCUCUUUCUGGUGGAAAGUUACUUGUUAUCCUUGAGGGCGGGUUGGUUUUUAUAUGUUCAUGGGUUCGUGUCUUUUUUUUCACGUAUUUGAAUGUCAUGAUUGAUCUUGAACACUUGUAACUUUUACAGCUAUAAUCUUCGUUCAAUAUCAUGCUCUGCUACUGCAGUUAUUAAGGUAAAUUAUCUUAUUGUUGGUACUGGUUCAACUAAGUUAAUCGUUAUGCUUUUAACUUUGCCGCUGGAUAUGAUCCCACAUUCUACUUUUGUUAUAAUCCAUCUACACCUUAACUGGGUGUUUGGAGUUGUCUUUGUAGAUACAUGUCAGGUUGGAGAAAUUAACACCUAGGUACAUCAUGCUGGAAUAGCAUUGAAUGUACAGUUUUCAGGCAAAUAAUUUAUCAUUAUCAUCUAGGUUAUUAAUGACACUAAGAAAAAGAUGUAGUUCAUGCUUGUAUUUGUUUAAUUUUAUAUGCGAGCUCAUUUGUCUGAUAGUGGUGAACAAGAUGGUUGGACCAUUGAGCUUUCAGCUUCAGCUGUGGAAAUAUUCUUCCCAGAUAUUUUUCUUAAAUUUUCUAAUACGUUACUUGCUUCCUGUUUUGAGUGUCUUUAGUUUCUUCAAACAUUGCAGGUCUUGCUUGGUGAAAGUCCAGCGUGCAACUUGGAUGAUAUUGUUCCUUCCAAGUCUGGGUUGCGAACCAUUUUUGAAGUUUUAAAAAUUCAGACAAAAUAUUGGCCUGCACUAGAGUCAACCUUUUCGAAAUUGCAGUUACGAUGGGGAAUUUAUGCUUUUCAGGACACAGGUUAGUGUGUUUGUUGCCUGAGAUCUUGGAACAGCCUUCCGGUUUUAGAUCUGUUUUCAUGUGUGGUUGUAUUCUUGCACUUUUCUUUUGGGAUACAUUGGUUCUAAUGUUAAGUAAUUUAAAACCAAUAUAAGAGAAGGUGGAUAAUUAGAGCAUUCGGGCAUGGAAUAGGGAAUUAGUAUCUCAGUGGCUUGCAAUGUGUCCUCUUCACAGGGUGAAGUCUUCUUUUUGAUCAAUUUCUUUUUGAUCAAUAUCAAUGUAUCUGUUGUCCCCCUGGUUCUCUUCUACAUAUUAUAGUGGUACCAUUGGUCCUGCUACAAAGACACUUCUACCAAAUGAUCCAAGGUGCACGUGCAUAAAAGCAGUAAUAGAGAGAUGACACGUCUAAUUCUGCUAAACUAUUUGUACCCAAAAGAAAAGACGUUUAGUAGAUGAUCAACAGUAAAAACUGAGAAAGGGAGAGAGAUGCUGCUAAUGCAAAAAUACCUGUUCUUUUCUCCAGUGAAAUAAUUAAAUGACAGAGAUUGGUGCAGGGAUAUAUUUUGAAACAAGGUCUAGUUGUGAAUCAGAUUUGUGUAUCUAAGACGGUGACUUGCUGGUAUUCAAUCUCGUGUUUUGUGUGGAUGUUUGGUCCGUCAUUUCAAUGGCUUGUCCUUGGCAUUUUUCACAGGGAAGCAGGUAAAAAGGAGACGAAAGGCAGUGGUGCCUGUUUGGUGGAGAUGGGGGCGAAAGAGGUUAUUCUAUCGUGUGCUGUCCAAGCAGCUUCAAUUUAAAGUGAAAUAGGUGCCAAGUGUACAUGUGUUUCGUAGUCUGACCUGUCUUUGUAACUUCUUCAGUACCUAAAUUAGGGUUGUGCAGUUUUGUGGAAAUGGAUUCCUAGUAAUGCAAAUUAUGUUGAAUUUUACCGCUCUCUCUCUCGCUCCCUCCUACAUACGUGCUUGCUCUAAUCCGUCUCAUAUAUCAACCUUUAUGACAAUGCCAUUUGGUAGAUUAUAAGAUCAGCACACUUCUAUUUCUUUCUACUAAUGCAGGCAAAUUCGUACUGCUUAUGUUCAAAUAAUUCAUCUCAAAUAUUUUGAUAGCAAAAGAAGUCAGUGUUGUAACAAUGUAAAGCGAGUGAAUGAAAUUUAUUGCUAGCUUUAUGGUUACUAGCUAUCGAGAAUGAAAGCUCAGUUGUCAAAGAUCUUCGUGAAUUGCAGAACUGGUAUCGCUCAUUAUGCCACUCAUUUUCUUUAUCUUUCUUCUGUGGGACAUUAGUAUUUUGAGGCUUUUUUCCCCUCUAAUUUAUGAAUUAGGUGUAAGAAAAAGCUGCAUUAGAUUUUUGGGUAGAAGAUUUCUGGCUUCUUGUUGGAAGAUGCAAAUGGGCAUAGGCCAGCAUGGUGUCGAUGUGCAUUUUCUUGGGUUUGGGAAGUUUUAUUUCACGUCUUAGGAUUUUGCUACACCUGGAUCCUCGGGUCAACUAACAAACUUCUAUAGUAUUUCGCAGAGAAAAUUUAAAAGCUGUUUUCUUGGGUUCGGGAAGUUUUAUUUCACGUCUUAGGAUUUUGCUACACCUGGAUCCUCGGGUCAACUAACAAACUUCUAUAGUAUUUCGAAGAGAAAAUUUAAAAGCUGUUUGAAAGGAAGGGGAGUGUGUCGGUGACUGAGGAGGUGAUUUUUGGUGGGUAACUAAACCGACCUGAAUCAGUCCUCUCUCGAAUGAGGUGAGGUGACUUUACUUCUCCGAAGUGGAUGGCGGGGCUUCUCCCCUGGGAUCACUCCGACGAUCAAGUUAGUAUGAGAACGAGAGAAAAGCAAUUGUAUAUGUGAAUGAACAGUAUGCUUACUUGUUAGGUGUACAUGAGGGGUAUUUAUAGAGCGGGAGUGGAUGGCAGGACAGAGGGCUCAUGCUAGUGGGACCCAUGUUCUGCCAUUACGGCUCUGCUCCUUGUUAGGAGGUCUGACUCUGACACUGUAACCGCCUGGGCAGGGUGACGGGGAGUUCUACGUAGUAGCCAUUAAGAGUAUCAGUGCUUUUCAGAUAAAGCACUGGUCCCUGAUGAUGUCAGGUGGCUUGACAUCAUCAGCGUGCAGCCGAGGUCGAAGUCUGAGGUGCAGGGAUCAUCUAGGCAGUAGACCAGGGGCUUGCCCGAGAUCAGGGCCAUAUUCAGCACGAGACCGUGCUCGUGUGAGGGAGGAAGUGAGAUCACCUCGGCAUUCCCAUGAGGGCCGAGGUGAGCACCCUCAAUAAGCCCCCCAAGCCUCAGAAGCUCCGAGUCCUAGAGGUACCGAGGCUUCCCUGUACCGAGGUCGUACAGGGUCGGAGGCCCGAGACUGUUCCUGACGAUUCGUGGGUGCGACACGUAGGCCGGUCAGUUGAUAAGACGUGGUGAGCAGAGUGGUCACGUCGUGAGGUAGUGGGACGUUUCGUGCAGAGUGUCAGUUGAAAGGACGGGUCAUUAAUGAAGAGAGAGGAUGUCUUUCGAAUUUAAACGUGGACGUCUUUUCGCAUUCUUGCCGCCUUUUCGGAUUCUCCCCGGAUCCCUAUAAAUAGGGGGUCCUUUUCACCGCAUGGCCCAUCACUUUAUCUUUCAGCCUCAGACUUGCAAAAUCCGUGAGCGUCGCCGAGGUCAGUGAGUCCUGCCAGUCGAAAUCUCAGCCGAAGUCAUCCAAUUCGUCAGAUUCCGUAGUCAACAGUAAGUAUUUUUCUUUUCAUCUCAUCAUUCACACAUGGCCAAAACAGUUAAAACCCACAAGAAAACCGUGAAACCGAGCUAUCAGGCCGAGGAGGGGUCGGACCCCUUGGAAGAAGCGACUUCGUCCAGCUCUGCGGGGUCGGCACCUACCGAUGUGGGGGAAUCAGCCGAGGAGGAAGUGGCCGGGACAGCAUCGGGGUCAGAGUCAUCAGAGAUGAGCGAGGGCGGUUCCGAUGUCGAAUACGAUACCGACCUCGGAACUGCAAUGCCCCAUGACGAGGGAGUGCUGGAGCCGGUUGCCCCAAGGAACGCUGUCAACAUUGACUUUGGCAAGAUGCCGAUGCUUAGGAGCCGCGUGGGAAGAGACAGGGCCGGGAAGGUGAUAAGAAAAUAUCCCUUCAGGCCGGGGUAUCUCAUCACAUUGCCCGGGCCGAACGAUUCGGCCGAGAAGCCCCCCAUGGGCACUGUGGCCAUCUAUCUUCAACAGUUGGAGGCCGGGCUGAGGAUGCCGACGUCAAGGUUCUUCCGGGACGUGCUCCGUCACUUCGGCGUAAGGAUCACUCAGCUCGUCCCAAACGCGGUCCGCAUCCUAGUAGGUUUCGAGAUGCUGUGCCGACAUCAAGAGGUAACCCCCACUGUGGAUCUCUUCCGCCGAUGCUAUACCCUCAAGGCGCACGGGGACGGAUAAGGGAUGGUUCUACAUCUGUAACCGGAACAACACCAUCCCGAAGCUGGUGAUUGGGGCUCCCACCUCGAUAAAGAACUGGAAACGGGACUUCAUCUUCGUCCCAGCCGGGGACUUCCCUUGGGGAUUUUGGUGGAGGCCCAUUAAAUCGAAGGCCGACCCUUCCGUGGGGGACCACGAGGAGGAGUCCUUCCAAAAGUUGAUGGGGUCGGGACUUCGGAUAUUUAGUUGGGACUACCCCGAAGCCGUGCUGGUCGACGGGGGAAUGAGCCGAGCUUUACUGCCCCCUAACAAGCCUUCCUUCUUUUCCAUUAAACUUGAGAAACCUUGUAAUUUUUCUUUCAUGGCUUUCCUUUUACCACGGCUAUAGCACAUAAUAAUAUUUGUUUCUUGUGCAGUGACCAAAUUGUCAGACAUCAUCACAUCGGGAUCAGCCGAGGUGGCAAAGAGAUCGAAAAGGAAGAACUCGGGCGAGACAUCGGCACAUCCGCCCAAAAAGAAGUCGCAAAGGCAGUCUUCCAAGACUUCGGUGGAGAAGAGCACCCCCACCAAGGCAGCCCAAAGCAGCUCGGCCACCGCAGCUACGGGUUCCACCUCUUCUGUGCCAGAAGGGGUGCCACUAGGAGUGACCACGGCACUCCCGCCUCCUCAUGGCCGAGGUAAACAAUUAAAGGCUCCGGUCAAUGCGGUGACGGGGUCUUCACUAUGGAACCGCUUCCAUAGCCCCCCAGUGUUUCCCAGAGAAGAGAAGUCCCACUCCGGCGAGCAUUGGUGUCCGGAGUGGACGCUGAAGGUCAACGAUAGGUGCAGCAAUCCACAGGUUGCACAAGAUUUGGUGAUGCAAUCAAGCUUGCCGAGGGACGUGGAGUUCACCAGGAAGCUGUCCCCGACCGAGUUGAUUCAAAGUAUAAUGGUGACCACGGCCUCCCAGACGGCAUUUGCGGCCGAGAUGACGCAUCGGUACUGCGCCCUAAUCGAGGAGCAAGACACCGGCAAGCUGCAAGAUCAGAUUGCCAAGUUGAAGAAGAAACUGGUGGUGUCCGAGUCCGAGAAGUCUGAGCUUCAGCGACGCCUUCAAGAAGUCGAGACGAAAGGGGAGGAGGCCGAGGCUACUAUCAACAGUUUCAAGUCGGCAUUGGAGGAAGAGCAGAAGAGGGCGGAGGAGGUAAAGAAGACCUACGAACAGGCUCUUGAGAGCGCAAGGACCUCGGCAGUUGAGGAUUUCAGGAGGUCCGAGACCUUCAUCGGGGAUCUCGUCCAGCUGACGAGGCCGAGCUUCAUGCUCGGCUUCACGUCGGCCAUCGACGAGGCCGCAGUUCAUCUCUCCUCCGAAGCCUUGGAGUCUUUAAGAAACAACGCCAAUUAUAAUGAAGACUCCAAGGAAUUGUGUGAUCGGAUGGCCGACGGGUUCCACGCUGGAAGGAACUUGGCUGAGGUCCAGGACGAGUUCAACAAGUGGCUAUCAGAGCUCGACGAAGUGUUCGAGGAGGACGGAGGAGGUGAGGCUGGGGGCGACGUCGGCGAGAAGACUGACGAAGUGCACGAAGGAGACUGAGGAGGUGAGCCUCAUCCCGGCGGGGAAGAAACCGGGGAGGCAAUUGGCCAGGAGGGAGCCGAGACAGGGGUCUAGGCUUGUAGGUGGUUAAGUGUAAUGCCGAGGUGGGAACUGCUUAGUAGCAUUCCUGACCUCGGUCUUGUUAUCUUUUUGUAAUGCCUUUUCUUCGUUAAAUGAAACAUAUUUCUUCUCACUUCGGCUAUUUUAAUUUCUUGCUUCGUCCCUUGCUUGUCCCCCUUAUUUUUUUAAUAACAGAUGUGUGGCACCAUUGUAUUGAAAAAUAACAAAGCUGCUGAGGUCAUAACUUGAUGAAAUAUUCAAGCAUAAUACAAUCUAAGAUUCUCGGCGUGCCAAGUUCUCGGCACUAGAGAGCCAUCUCGGUAGCUCAGUUUACAAUACCCGUUAAGGUUGGAUUCCACAACUCGGUAAGGACCUUCCCAUUUUGGGCUCAAUUUCCCUUGCGGCUCAGCUCAGCUGACCGAGUUUUUUCUAAGUACCAAGUCACCUGGCAGGAAUCGCCGAUGUUUGACGAGGGCAUUGUAGUAACGGGUCAGGGUGUUCUUGUAGGAAGCUACCCGAGCUGAGGCAACGUCCCUUCUCUCGUCGACGAGGUCGAGAUCCAACUGUCUCUCUUCUCCGUUCACCUCGGCGACAUAGGCUGCCAGCCGAGGGUUGGGUGUUAGGAUCUCAGCAGUGAUGACAGCCUCGGCUCCAUAGGUCAAGGAGAAGGGGGUUUCUUGCGUGGAUGACCUCGGCGUGGUCCAAUAUGACCACAGGACACUGGGUAGUUCUUCCACCCAAGAUGAUGCAGCUCGGUGUAGUCGGGUCUUGAGGCCAUGCAAGAGAGUUCAGUUGAAAUUCUCUGCUUGACCGUUGGCCUGAGGGUGGCCUACCGAAGUGAAGUGUUGUUUGAUGCCGAGGUUCUCGCACCAAGUCCUAAAUGGGUUCUCGGCAAACUGUCUCCCAUUGUCUGAGAUGAUGAUCUGAGGUAUGCCGAAGCAGCAGAUAAUGCAUUUCGAAAAGAAUUUUUGAAGGGCCAGCCCUGUGAUGUUCCUUAGAGGCUCGGCCUCAACCCACUUAGUGAAAUAAUCCACAGCGGUUACCAGGAAGGAAUAACCCCCGACCGCUUUUGGGAAAGGGCCAAUAAUGUCUGUCCCCCAUUACUCAAACGGCCAGGGUGAGGUGAUUGGAACCAUGAAGUUUGAGGGCUGGUGGUGCUCGGGGGCGUGGACUUGGCAGGAUGGGCAGCCGAGAACAAGAUUUUGGGCAUCCUGUCGAACGGAAGGCCAGAAAUACCCAAGGAGCAAGGUCUUCUUGGCCAACAUCCUAUGGCUGACGUGGGCCCCACAUAGGUCUUCGUGUACCUCGUGGAGGACUUGGCGUCCUUCCUCGGGCGUAACGCACCUCAGCCACGGGCCAAGGUAGGAGCGUUUAUAGAGUUCUCCCUCGCGGAGAGCAUACCGAGCGGCUUUGCGUUGUAUCUUUCUCGCCUCGGCUCGAUCCUCGGGGAGGAUUCCCUGCCGUAAGAAAAGGAUGAAUGGGCUCAUCCAUGUAUCUCCCGAGUUUACAGAGCAAGCCACCUCUUCCAUGUAUCCCGGCUCGCUCAGUACUUCCACUAAGACGGUCUUGUUGAGGUCAGAAAAUGAUGUGGAAGCCAGCCGGGAUAAGGCGUCAGCCCGCCUAUUCUGGGAGCGGGGGAUUUUUUGGAUUUCGAAAGACUCGAAGUAUGCGGUGAGUUGGUGGACUUUGGAGAGAUAUCGUUGUAUGAUCUCAUCCUUAGUCUCAUAUUCACCGAGAACUUGGCAUACUACAAGUUCGGAGUCGGUACGGACGUGGAUCCGCUGUGCACCGAGCCUGCGGGCUAGUUGGAGUCCCGCGAUCAAGACCUCAUAUUCGGCUUCAUUGUUGGUGGCUGGGAAGUCAAAGCGGAGGGCAUACGAGCACACUUCUCCCUGGGGGCCCUCCAGGAGCAGUCCUGCUCCACUGCCAUCCCCGUUAGAGGAUCCGUCCACAUAUAACAUCCACAGGUGGGGGGUGGACACUUCGGCGAUGGCGGAAGUGGAUUCUCGACCUUCCGUGAAGGUGAGUUCGGCCAAGAAGUCGGCUAUGGCUUGAGCUUUUAUGGCGGUGCGUGGCUCAUACGACAGGUCGUACUCCCCUAACUCGACGGCCCACUUAGUGAGGCGCCCGGAAGCCUCGGGUCGGACCAGUAUUUGUCGAAUAGGCUGGUCUGUCCUGACGGAGAUAGGAUGAGCUAGGAAAUAGGGUUUCAGCCGCCGGGCGGCGUGGACCAACCCUAGUACGAGUUUUUCCACCUGGGUAUAUCGAGUCUCUGGCCCACGGAGAGCCCGGCUGACAUAGUAGACCGGUACUUGGGUCCCCUCAUCUCGGAUGAGCACAGCACUGACAGCUUCGUCGGCGGCGGAGAGGUAGAGGUACAGCUUUUCUUCGGGCCGAGGUGAGACGAGGGUAGGCAAGUGAUGCAAAUAUUAUUUUAAUUUGUCGAAGGCAGCCUGGCAUUCUUCGGUCCAGGCAAACUGAUCAGACUUCUUUAGCACCUUAAAGAAGGGCAAGGCUUUCUCAGCAGAUUGAGACAGGAAGCGGUUCAGCGCGGCCAGGCGUCCAUUCAGUCUAUGGACUUCUCGGAGGUUCCGAGGUGGGGACAUGUCCUGAAUGGCUUUGACUUUGUCGGGGUUAGCUUCGAUUCCCCGGUGGGAAACCAGAUACCUCAAGAAUUUUCCUGAGGUGACACCAAAGACGCACUUCUUGGGAUUCAACUUCAUCCUUGAGUCCCGCAGGACGCCGAAGACCUCCCUCACAUCUGACAGGAAAGUCGAGGUGGUUAAACUUUUAACUAGAAUGUCGUCCACGUAGGCCUCCACAUUGCGGCCAAUUUGAUCUUUGAAAAGGCGGUUGAUCAGCCUUUGAUAGGUUGCCCCGGUGUUUUUUAGCCCGAACGGCAUGGUAGUAUAGCAGUAAACACCUUGGUCGGUGUAGAACGCUGUUUUCUCUUGGUCCUCCUCACUCAUUCCUAUUUGAUGGUAGCCUUUGAAGGCAUCUAAGAAUCAGAGGAUCUCAUGUCCCAUUGCCGAGUCGACGAGGGGGUCUAUCCUCGGCAGAGGGUAGCAAUAUUUGGGGCAGGCCUUGUUAAGGUCGGUGAAGUCGACACACAUCCUCCAUCCACCGGUAUCCUUUUUGACCAUGACGGGGUUGGACAGCCAGGUGGGGUACUGGACCUCAUGGAUCAUCUUGGCGGGCAAGAGCUUGUCGACCUCAUCAGAUAUGGCCUUGCUGCGUUCGGGGCCGAAGUGCCUGCGUU